AGCAAUAUGACUGCUUGCAGGAAAAAUUGCUUAUCUAUUUGACGGAUAAACAAACAUGAGCAAGUAGGGUGGUAGCCCGGAUUGCGAAUGCUUGUUUCGAUUUCGAAAGUUCGAAGAACGGAGAAAUCGU
rnacentral:sRNA from 1 species